GGAGACAUGGUUCAGUGAUAGAGCACCUGCCUAGCAAGCAUGAAGCCCUCCCUGGGUUCAAACUCUAGCAUCACCA
rnacentral:tRNA from 1 species